rnacentral:rRNA from 1 species
AGUGAACGCUGGCGGUAGGCCUAACACAUGCAAGUCGAACGGCAGCACAGUAAGAGCUUGCUCUUACGGGUGGCGAGUGGCGGACGGGUGAGGAAUACAUCGGAAUCUGCUUUUUCGUGGGGGAUAACGUAGGGAAACUUACGCUAAUACCGCAUACGACCUACGGGUGAAAGCAGGGGAUCUUCGGACCUUGCGCGAUUGAAUGAGCCGAUGUCGGAUUAGCUAGUUGGCGGGGUAAAGGCCCACCAAGGCGACGAUCCGUAGCUGGUCUGAGAGGAUGAUCAGCCACACUGGAACUGAGACACGGUCCAGACUCCUACGGGAGGCAGCAGUGGGGAAUAUUGGACAAUGGGCGCAAGCCUGAUCCAGCCAUACCGCGUGGGUGAAGAAGGCCUUCGGGUUGUAAAGCCCUUUUGUUGGGAAAGAACAGCAGCAGGUUAAUACCCCGCUGUUCUGACGGUACCCAAAGAAUAAGCACCGGCUAACUUCGUG